UGGUUGUUGGUUUUUUUUUGGCAAGGUACUCAAUCACAUGAUAAGGCAAUCCAAUUUUCUGGUUUGCUUCCUGUCUUCUUUCCUCCUAAAUGGCUGAGCAUUUCUCACUGAGAUCACUACUGCAAUGUGUGCCAGAAUAUGUUUAAAAUAUGGUCCUGUAAAAAUAGAAAUCAGGUUUCUUUCUUUGAAGGCAGCAUUAAUUCUUCAUAUAUUCUGGGAUCUUGAAGAUUUCAGCUGAACAGAUUCAAAGUGAUCUUCUUUUUCCUUUGUUGCCAAGGACUUGAGCUUCCCCAGCAGUGACUGCUUAUUAGAAUAUACUAUUUCUUCUUCAUUAUCUUCCCC
rnacentral:lncRNA from 1 species